UACGUAGGUGACAAGCGUUGUCCGGAUUUACUGGGCGUAAAGAGCGCGCAGGCGGUCGAUCAAGUCGAGUGUGAAAGCCCCCGGCUCAACUGGGGAGGGUCAUUCGAUACUGAUCGACUCGAAGGCAGGAGAGGGUAGUGGAAUUCCCGGUGUAGUGGUGAAAUGCGUAGAUAUGACAUAGAACACCAAUUGCGAAGGCAGCUUACUACGGAUGUAUUGACACUGAGGCACGAAAGCGUGGGGAUCAAACAGG
rnacentral:rRNA from 1 species